rnacentral:rRNA from 1 species
AUUGAACGCUGGCGGCAUGCUUUACACAUGCAAGUCGAACGGCAGCACGGGGGCAACCCUGGUGGCGAGUGGCGAACGGGUGAGUAAUAUAUCGGAACGUACCCGGAAAUGGGGGAUAACGUAGCGAAAGUUACGCUAAUACCGCAUAUGCCCUAAGGGGGAAAGCGGGGGUUUCGCAAGAACCUCGCGUUUUCGGAGCGGCCGAUAUCGGAUUAGCUAGUAGGUGAGGUAAAGGCUCACCUAGGCGACGAUCCGUAGCUGGUCUGAGAGGACGACCAGCCACACUGGAACUGAGACACGGUCCAGACUCCUACGGGAGGCAGCAGUGGGGAAUUUUGGACAAUGGGGGGCAACCCUGAUCCAGCCAUGCCGCGUGAGUGAAGAA